rnacentral:rRNA from 1 species
AUUGAACGCUGGCGGCAUGCCAUACACAUGCAAGUCGAACGGCAGCACGGGAGCAAUCCUGGUGGCGAGUGGCGAACGGGUGAGUAAUACAUCGGAACGUGCCCAAUCGUGGGGGAUAACGCAGCGAAAGCUGUGCUAAUACCGCAUACGAUCUACGGAUGAAAGCAGGGGAUCGCAAGACCUUGCGCGAAUGGAGCGGCCGAUGGCAGAUUAGGUAGUUGGUGAGGUAAAGGCUCACCAAGCCGUCGAUCUGUAGCUGGUCUGAGAGGACGACCAGCCACACUGGGACUGAGACACGGCCCAGACUCCUACGGGAGGCAGCAGUGGGGAAUUUUGGACAAUGGGCGAAAGCCUGAUCCAGCCAUGCCGCGUGCAGGAUGAAGGCCUUUGGGUUGUAAACUGCUUUUGUACGGAACAAAACGGCCUUUUCUAAUAAAGAGGGCUAAUGACGGUACCGUAAGAAUAAGCACCGGCUAACUACGUGCCAGCAGCCGCGGUAAUACGUAGGGUGCAAGCGUUAAUCGGAAUUACUGGGCGUAAAGCGUGCGCAGGCGGUUAUGUACGACAGUUGUGAAAUCCCCGGGCUCAACCUGGGAACUGCAUCUGUGACUGCAUAGCUAGAGUACGGUAGAGGGGGAUGGAAUUCCGCGUGUAGCAGUGAAAUGCGUAGAUAUGCGGAGGAACACCGAUGGCGAAGGCAAUCCCCUGGACCUGUACUGACGCUCAUGCACGAAAGCGUGGGGAGCAAACAGG